rnacentral:rRNA from 1 species
GACGAACGCUGGCGGCGUGCCUAAACUAUGCGAGUCGUGCGGAGCUUAUUUUGAACCGCAAGGGGAUGAGUAAGCUGAGCGGCGAACGGGUGAGUAACGCGUGAACAACCUACCCGCAGGACCGGGAUAACUCCGAGAAAUCGGGGCUAAUACUGGAUAUGAAAUCUGCCCGCAUGAGCAGAUUUGGAAAAGAGCAAUCCACCUGCGGAGGGGUUCGCGUCCUAUCAGCUUGUUGGUGGGGUAAUGGCCUACCAAGGCACUGACGGGUAGCCGGCCUGAGAGGGUGACCGGCCACACUGGGACUUAGACACGGCCCAGACUCCUACGGGAGGUAGCAAGUGGGAAUUUUGCACAAUGGGCGAAAGCCUGAUGCAGCGACGCCGCGUGAGGGAUGAAGGCCUUCGGGUCGUAAACCUCUGUUGACAGGGAAGAAAACAAUGACGGUACCUGUCGAGGAAGCCUCGGCUAACUCCGUGCCAGCAGCCGCGGCAAGACGGAGG